rnacentral:rRNA from 1 species
GAUGAACGCUGGCGGCGUGCCUAAUACAUGCAAGUCGAGCGAACAGACGAGGAGCUUGCUCCUCUGACGUUAGCGGCGGACGGGUGAGUAACACGUGGAUAACCUACCUAUAAGACUGGGAUAACUUCGGGAAACCGGAGCUAAUACCGGAUAAUAUAUUGAACCGCAUGGUUCAAUAGUGAAAGACGGUUUUGCUGUCACUUAUAGAUGGAUCCGCGCCGCAUUAGCUAGUUGGUAAGGUAACAGCUUACCAAGGCAACGAUGCGUAGCCGACCUGAGAGGGUGAUCGGCCACACUGGAACUGAGACACGGUCCAGACUCCUACGGGAGGCAGCAGUAGGGAAUCUUCCGCAAUGGGCGAAAGCCUGACGGAGCAACGCCGCGUGAGUGAUGAAGGUCUUCGGAUCGUAAAACUCUGUUAUUAGGGAAGAACAAAUGUGUAAGUAACUGUGCACGUCUUGACGGUACCUAAUCAGAAAGCCACGGCUAACUACGUG